CCUACGGGAGGCAGCAGUGGGGAAUUUUGGACAAUGGGCGAAAGCCUGAUCCAGCAAUGCCGCGUGAGUGAAGAAGGCCUUCGGGUUGUAAAGCUCUUUUGUCAGGGAAGAAACGGUGAGAGCUAAUAUCUCUUGCUAAUGACGGUACCUGAAGAAUAAGCACCGGCUAACUACGUGCCAGCAGCCGCGGUAAUACGUAGGGUGCAAGCGUUAAUCGGAAUUACUGGGCGUAAAGCGUGCGCAGGCGGUUUUGUAAGUCUGAUGUGAAAUCCCCGGGCUCAACCUGGGAAUUGCAUUGGAGACUGCAAGGCUAGAAUCUGGCAGAGGGGGGUAGAAUUCCACGUGUAGCAGUGAAAUGCGUAGAUAUGUGGAGGAACACCGAUGGCGAAGGCAGCCCCCUGGGUCAAGAUUGACGCUCAUGCACGAAAGCGUGGGGAGCAAACAGGAUUAGAUACCCUGGUAGUCCACGCCCUAAACGAUGUCUACUAGUUGUCGGGUUACUUAAUUGACUUGGUAACGCGAGCUACGACGUGAGUAGACCGCCGUGGGAGGUACGGUCGCGAGAGUUAAACGUUAAAGUAGAGUAGAGACGNGAGAGAGACGACGGACGACGACGAGGGAGAGG
rnacentral:rRNA from 1 species